rnacentral:rRNA from 1 species
UACGUAGGGUGCGAGCGUUAAUCGGAAUUACUGGGCGUAAAGCGUACGCAGGCGGUUCGUCGUGUCCGAUGUGAAAGCCCCGGGCUCAACCUGGGAAUGGCAUUGGAAACUGGCGGACUCGAGUGUGGCAGAGGGGGGUGGAAUUCCGCGUGUAGCAGUGAAAUGCGUAGAGAUGCGGAGGAACACCGAUGGCGAAGGCAGCCCCCUGGGCUAACACUGACGCUCAGGCACGAAAGCGUGGGGAGCAAACAGG